rfam:Camponotus floridanus CamFlo_1.0_1.contig2336, whole genome shotgun sequence.
AUAUAAUACACAAUGAUGACUAGCAUAGUUCAACUGAUACAACUCUGAUGACAACUUAAUAUAGUCUUUCGUCCCUAACUGAUAUUUCUU